GGGGACGACAGGCUUCGACGCGGUCGGUUCGCGGGGGUGGUUGCGAGUCGAGGUCCCGGGAGGCCUCGUUAAACACCCGGGAACCAAUAAGUGCGGACUCUCACGAGUACGCCCUCGUCGCUUAGUUAGAAGCUAAGUGAGAGGUCUCGGCCUCCGCCCGCCCGCGGCGGGGAUCUCCGGGAUCAGAUAGCGGGCUCACCCGGGAAGGCCCGCCUCCGCCGACCCGGGGACACCUUCAGGAGGCUGGCCCCGAGCAACCCGGCCGGCGAGGCGACCUCGGGGCGAGAUCAGAGCGCCGGCUACGCUCGUAGAAGCCACCUCUUGCGCGAUCGCGGACGCGGGUUCGAUUCCCGCCGUCUCCACUA
rnacentral:tmRNA from 1 species